rnacentral:piRNA from 1 species
UUCACACAGAAGGAAAGAUGAGACGAAU